rnacentral:rRNA from 1 species
AUUGAACGCUGGCGGCAGGCCUAACACAUGCAAGUCGAGCGGAUGAAGGGAGCUUGCUCCUGGAUUCAGCGGCGGACGGGUGAGUAAUGCCUAGGAAUCUGCCUGGUAUUGGGGGAUAACGUCCGGAAACGGGCGCUAAUACCGCAUACGUCCUGAGGGAGAAAGUGGGGGAUCUUCGGACCUCACGCUAUCAGAUGAGCCUAGGUCGGAUUAGCUAGUUGGUGGGGUAAAGGCCUACCAAGGCGACGAUCCGUAACUGGUCUGAGAGGAUGAUCAGUCACACUGGAACUGAGACACGGUCCAGACUCCUACGGGAGGCAGCAGUGGGGAAUAUUGGACAAUGGGCGAAAGCCUGAUCCAGCCAUGCCGCGUGUGUGAAGAGGGUCUUCGGAUUGUAAAGCACUUUAAGUUGGGAGGAAGGGCAGUAAGUUAAUACCUUGCUGUUUUGACGUUACCAACAGAAUAAGCACCGGCUAACUUCGUG